AUUGAACGCUGGCGGCAGGCCUAACACAUGCAAGUCGAACGGUAGCACAGAGAGCUUGCUCUCGGGUGACGAGUGGCGGACGGGUGAGUAAUGUCUGGGAAACUGCCUGAUGGAGGGGGAUAACUACUGGAAACGGUAGCUAAUACCGCAUAACGUCGCAAGACCAAAGAGGGGGACCUUCGGGCCUCUUGCCAUCAGAUGUGCCCAGAGGGGAUUAGCUAGUGGGUGGGGUAACGGCUCACCUAGGCAACGAUCGCUAGAUGGUCUGAGAGGAUGACCAGCCACACAGGAACUGAAACACGGUCCAGACUCCUACGGGAGGCAGCAGUGGGGAAUAUUGCACAAUGUGCGCAGGCCUGAUGCAGCCAUGCCGCGUGUAUGAAGAAGGCCUUCGGGUUGUAAAUUACUUUCAGCGGGGAGGAAGGCGAUACGGUUAAUAACCGUGUUGAUUGACGUUACCCGCAGAAGAAGCACCGGCUAACUCCGUGCCAGCCGCCGCGGUAA
rnacentral:rRNA from 1 species